rnacentral:lncRNA from 1 species
GACCAAUGGUGCCAGGGGGCGGGCCCGAGGGAGUGGGGCGGGCCGGUGGGCCGAGCCCGGCCCGGGAACACACAGCGAUGGACGAGCCGAGCCUCCUGCGGCGCCGUGGGCUCCAGGAGAUGUCAUCCCAGAACCCCCUGGAGAUUCUCUGUCUCUGCCUUGCAAGGCUGGUGUUACAGGUGGGCUGCUGUCAUGACCCUGAACUCCUUAUCAUUAGCAACAAUCGCUUUAACCACUGAGCCUUUCCCCAGAAUCUCCUUCCUUGCCCUCACCCCCCAAAGAACACUUCUCAGGGCUGGAGAGAUGGCUCAGCAGUUAAAAGCACUGGCUGCUCUUCCAGAGGUCCUGAGUUCAAUUCCCA